AUAACUGCUCAUUUGAGGGAUUUGAACUCACAACAUUCCAUGAGGGAUGGAGUAGAUUAGUGGCUGAGGCUUUGACUGCUGAUUGGAAAGUUGUGAGUUCAAAUCGCGGGGCCACUGCUGGGCCCCUGAGCAAGCCCUUAAACAUCAACUACUCAGGUGAUUAACAUUAGGUCAAAUGUAAGUUCUCUGGAUAAGGGAAUCUGCCAGAUGCUGGAAAUAAUGCAUGGGAGGUCUAAAGCAUCUUGUCAUCUAGUGUUUAACACAUGAUCCUCCUGGUUAGAGUCGACAACUCGGAAAGAAUUCACUACAG